rnacentral:rRNA from 1 species
CCAAUAGCGUAUAUUAAAGUUGUUGCAGUUAAAAAGCUCGUAGUUGAAUUUCGGGAUCAAUAUGUCGGUCGUGCCAUCGGUACGUACUGGUAUCAUUGGUCUCUCCUUUCUGACGAACCAUGAUGUCAUUAAUUUGGUGUUAUGGGAAGUUAGGACUGUUACUUUGAAAAAAUUAGAGUGUUUAAAGCAGGCUUUGGCUUGAAUACAUUAGCAUGGAAUA